GCGCACGUGGUGAAAUUGGUAUACACGCCAUCUUGAGGGGGUGGUGCUUUAGGGUGUGGGGGUUCGAGUCCCCCCGUGUGCA
rnacentral:tRNA from 1 species